ACGCUACUCAGUCCCCUCCUCUCUUUUCCAAUUCCACUGCCGUCCCUCUCUUGUACGAUCCCUUCCAAUCGACCCUAGCUGGUGGUCAUUUGAUCAAUUCCUUCGGUGUUCUGAGGCUGCCAUGGUUUGACUCUCUCUCUGCUGCUCUUUUUUCUCAUUGUUGUCAUCGAUCCUAACUGAUGUUGUGGCGUGACUCUCUCUCUCGUUGUGCUUCUGCUGCUCUUUGGGUCGUUUUUCUUUCUCUUGCCUCUCGAAUGUGGACUGUCUCGGGCGACAAACAACGACCUCAGGGUCGUUGAUGGAAUACGCCCCAUAUGUUUUGGAAAACAAGAAUUAUAUCUGAACUUAAUUAGGCACUUAUGGCUCGGCAAGCUGUUUGAAAAAAUGCCCCUACCAUUUGAAGGGAAGUGGCACACUGCUAUAUUGACGGCAAUGCAGAUGCAGUAGAGUUCUGUCCACAUGACUUUGUACCGCUACGUUUUAGCAGCUGCAACUUACCCUCUGCAAGAGGGUGAUUGGCUGAGUCGAUCUGGAAGCAUUUCGAUCUUUGAUGUUGAUGCUGAUGCCGGUCACUUUUAUUGUUUCUUCGUGUGAAACGGCGGAGAUCUUUGAUAUCGAGAGGGUCUGUUUGGGACUGAAUAAACAUUUUUAAGAUAUAUUUGUAAGAGAAUGUUAAA
rnacentral:misc_RNA from 1 species